rnacentral:lncRNA from 1 species
AACUAUCUUCGAAUCUGAAAACAUGAAGUUUAAAAACGUUAGUAUAAACUCAGUGAGUGAACAUAAGAAGGGAACAAGAAAUCGAUAGGAAGAAUUUGGAAAUCAUGAUGCACUUGUUUCGAAAACAAUGCAAUUGAUUUAAUUUCUUACUAAAAACCCCUCAUUUCAAACUUUGAUUAAUAACCCCAUAGUGUUGCAAAAACCCAUGACCAAUCCAUGAAGUUAAAAGGGUGAAAAAUAUGUCAAAAUCAAGUAAGGUAGCAAGCAAGACAGCAAGUUUCUCGCUACAGUGAGAAAUAAUCUUAGUUUGCAUAUGUUUCAGUUUUUCUAAUGUAUCUCCCACUACAGCAGUUCAAUUGACCUGAUUUUUGGAUCAUUAGAAAGCUAAGAGGCUGGGAUACAACUUUUAUGUUUACCAUUUUGCCCAGUUCUGACUGAAAGGUGGUCAAAAUCAUUGUCAAAGUGGAAAUACUACACCAAAAUUUUAGGUAUACCCGAGGGUUUUUCGCUUCAGCGAGAAUCCAAUUUCACAGUAGCGAAAUUCCUUGUUGCAGCGAGAAACAGGGCUGGUUUGUGCCCGCACCACCCGUGAGUUUCUCACUGCAACGAGAAUGCAUUCUCACUGUAGCGAGAUUAAGGGCAGAUGACAAUUACAAGGUUUUCACAUGCCACAAAAUCCAUCCUUACCAUAUUGCACAUCAAAGUGAACACAUUGACAAUAAUCAAGUUAUCAACAUUCAAAACAAUCACAUAUUAUAAUCAUAAACUUGCUAUCACAUAUACAUAUAUAAACAUAUAUCAACAAGUACACCACCCCACUUCAUUCAUCGUCAUAGCUAGGUCAUCAUCAUCGGCAUAUGCCCACUCCCUACUGGCACAUAGCCGGAUCAUCAUCGGCUUAUGCGCACUCCCUACUUGCACAUAGCGGGGUCAUCAUCACCUCAUGUGCACUCCCACACACACAUAGGUGGGUCAUCAUUAUCACAUAAAAAGGAACAUCCAAUGCAUAUUAUACAUAUCAACAUAUUGUGAUAACACAUGAACCAUUUACAUGGCACAUUUUCACAAGAUAGAAACAUUCACCAAAGGCUUGUUCCCUAGGUAGAUUUUUUAGGAAAAGUUGGAUAAAAUCAUUCAAAUGUUUUGUGCAAAUACAUUCACAUUCCCAAAAUAAUUUUGAAAUGCAAGUUCACUCACCGGUCUUGUUGAUUCUUUUGCUUGACUCUAGCCUCAACUAAUGCUCCAAAUGGACAUGUGAGGCCUUGUUGGAACCUAUACACACACAAUAUCACCAUAAACCCAAAUUGGCAUUAAUAUAAUUCCAAAAAGCUCUUUCCUAAAUCAAGUUCUACUAGUUAUUCCUAACUAGUUUCCAAUUGCCAUUAAGUGGCUAUUUGUUUACUCUACUCUAGUCACUCUAAAAAUGAUUAACAAUCUAAACAAUAGAUUAACCCACCACUCUAACCAUCAACCAUUAUCAACAACUUAAAAAUUAAACGUAAUUCAUUACUCACCUUGGUGGCUUUUGUAGUUGAAUUCCUUUUCAAAAGCUUCCAAGCUAUUUUGGACAAUCUCCCUCUCUCUCUCUCCACCCAUCUAGCUAGUGAGAAAAGAUACCAAGGAAAGACCUUUAAGGGCUUUUGAUGUGUAGAAGAGAAAGAGUAUGAAAAACCCUAUGAAAAGGUGUAGAAAAACA